rnacentral:tRNA from 1 species
AGUAAGAUAAGCUAAUUAAAGCUAUUGGGCUCAUACCCCAAACAUGAACAUAAUUCUCUUACUA